UGGCUCAGUAGGUGGAGCAUGUGACUCUUGAUCUCAAGGUCGUGGGUUCGAGCCCCAC
rnacentral:tRNA from 1 species